rnacentral:rRNA from 1 species
GGUUAAGCGACUAAGCGUACACGGUGGAUGCCCUGGCAGUCAGAGGCGAUGAAGGACGUGCUAAUCUGCGAAAAGCGUCGGUAAGGUGAUAUGAACCGUUAUAACCGGCGAUGUCCGAAUGGGGAAACCCAGUGCAAUUCGUUGCACUAUCGUUAACUGAAUACAUAGGUUAACGAGGCGAACCGGGGAACUGAAACAUCUAAGUACCCCGAGGAAAAGAAAUCAACCGAGAUUCCCCAGUAGCGGCGAGCGAACGGGGAGCAGCCCAGAGUCUGAAUCAGCUUGUGUGUUAGUGGAACGGUCUGGAAAGUCCGACGGUACAGGGUGAUAGUCCCGUACACCAAAAUGCACAGGUUGUGAACUCGAAGAGUAGGGCGGGACACGUGGUAUCCUGUCUGAAUAUGGGGACCAUCCUCCAAGGCUAAAUACUCCUGACUGACCGAUAGUGAACCAGUACCGUGAGGGAAAGGCGAAAAGAACCCCGGCGAGGGAGUGAAAAAGAACCUGAAACCGUGUACGUACAAGCAGUGGGAGCACCUUCGGGUGUGACUGCGUACCUUUGUAUAAUGGGUCAGCGACUUAUAUUCUGUAGCAAGGUUAACCGUAUAGGGGAGCCGCAGGAAACCGAGUCUUAACUGGGCGUUAAGUUGCAGGGUAUAGACCCGAAACCCGGUGAUCUAGCCAUGGGCAGGUUGAAGGUUGGGUAACACUAACUGGAGGACCGAACCGACUAAUGUUGAAAAAUUAGCGGAUGACUUGUGGCUGGGGUGAAAGGCCAAUCAAACCGGGAGAUAGCUGGUUCUCCCCGAAAGCUAUUUAGGUAGCGCCUCGUGAAUUCAUCUUCGGGGUAGAGCACUGUUUCGGCUAGGGGUCAUCCCGACUUACCAACCCGAUGCAAACUACGAAUACCGAAGAAUGUUAUCACGGGAGACACACGGCGGGUGCUAACGUCCGUCGUGAAGAGGGAAACAACCCAGACCGCCAGCUAAGGUCCCAAAGUCAUGGUUAAGUGGGAAACGAUGUGGGAAGGCACAGACAGCCAGGAUGUUGGCUUAGAAGCAGCCAUCAUUUAAAGAAAGCGUAAUAGCUCACUGGUCGAGUCGGCCUGCGCGGAAGAUGUAACGGGGCUAAACCAUGCACCGAAGCUGCGGCAGCGACACUAUGUGUUGUUGGGUAGGGAGCGUUCUGUAAGCCUGCGAAGGUGUGCUGUGAGGCAUGCUGGAGGUAUCAGAAGUGCGAAUGCUGACAUAAGUAACGAUAAAGCGGGUGAAAAGCCCGCUCGCCGGAAGACCAAGGGUUCCUGUCCAACGUUAAUCGGGGCAGGGUGAGUCGACCCCUAAGGCGAGGCCGAAAGGCGUAGUCGAUGGGAAACAGGUUAAUAUUCCUGUACUUGGUGUUACUGCGAAGGGGGACGGAGAAGGCUAUGUUAGCCGGGCGACGGUUGUCCCGGUUUAAGCAUGUAGGCUGAUUAUCCAGGCAAAUCCGGAUAAUCAAGGCUGAGGUGUGAUGACGAGGCACUACGGUGCUGAAGUAACAAAUGCCCUGCUUCCAGGAAAAGCCUCUAAGCAUCAGGUAACAUCAAAUCGUACCCCAAACCGACACAGGUGGUCAGGUAGAGAAUACCAAGGCGCUUGAGAGAACUCGGGUGAAGGAACUAGGCAAAAUGGUGCCGUAACUUCGGGAGAAGGCACGCUGGUGUGUAGGUGAAGCCCCUGCGGGUGGAGCUGAGACCAGUCGAAGAUACCAGCUGGCUGCAACUGUUUAUUAAAAACACAGCACUGUGCAAACACGAAAGUGGACGUAUACGGUGUGACGCCUGCCCGGUGCCGGAAGGUUAAUUGAUGGGGUUAUCCGUAAGGAGAAGCUCUUGAUCGAAGCCCCGGUAAACGGCGGCCGUAACUAUAACGGUCCUAAGGUAGCGAAAUUCCUUGUCGGGUAAGUUCCGACCUGCACGAAUGGCGUAAUGAUGGCCAGGCUGUCUCCACCCGAGACUCAGUGAAAUUGAACUCGCUGUGAAGAUGCAGUGUACCCGCGGCAAGACGGAAAGACCCCGUGAACCUUUACUAUAGCUUGACACUGAACAUUGAGCCUUGAUGUGUAGGAUAGGUGGGAGGCUUUGAAGCGUGGACGCCAGUCUGCGUGGAGCCAACCUUGAAAUACCACCCUUUAAUGUUUGAUGUUCUAACGUUGGCCCCUUACCGGGGUUGCGGACAGUGUCUGGUGGGUAGUUUGACUGGGGCGGUCUCCUCCCAAAGCGUAACGGAGGAGCACGAAGGUUAGCUAAUCCUGGUCGGACAUCAGGAGGUUAGUGCAAUGGCAUAAGCUAGCUUGACUGCGAGCGUGACGGCGCGAGCAGGUGCGAAAGCAGGUCAUAGUGAUCCGGUGGUUCUGAAUGGAAGGGCCAUCGCUCAACGGAUAAAAGGUACUCCGGGGAUAACAGGCUGAUACCGCCCAAGAGUUCAUAUCGACGGCGGUGUUUGGCACCUCGAUGUCGGCUCAUCACAUCCUGGGGCUGAAGUAGGUCCCAAGGGUAUGGCUGUUCGCCAUUUAAAGUGGUACGCGAGCUGGGUUUAGAACGUCGUGAGACAGUUCGGUCCCUAUCUGCCGUGGGCGCUGGAGAAUUGAGGGGCUGCUCCUAGUACGAGAGGACCGGAGUGGACGCAUCACUGGUGUUCGGGUUGUCAUGCCAAUGGCACUGCCCGGUAGCUAAAUGCGGAAGAGAUAAGUGCUGAAAGCAUCUAAGCACGAAACUUGCCCCGAGAUGAGUUCUCCUGAGACUUUAAGUCUCCUGAAGGAACGUUGAAGACGACGACGUUGAUAGGCCGGGUGUGUAAGCGCAGCGAUGCGUUGAGCUAACCGGUACUAAUGAACCGUGAGGCUUAACCUU